rnacentral:tRNA from 3 species
GACUCCAUGGCGCAAUGGUAGCGCGUUCGACUCCAGAUUUGGUUCAUCGAAAGGUUGCGUGUUCAAGUCACGUUGGGGUCA